rnacentral:lncRNA from 1 species
AAGCAGAUCGGCGGCCGCGGGGAGGUUCGGGGCGGCGCAGCCCCGCGCGGUUGUGGGAUCGCUCCCGGGGGCCGCUCCUCUCUCGGGCACUGGGGUCGCGGGAGACGUCGUCGGGAGCUCGGUUUCUGGAGGCCCUUCCCCACCCGGCCUCUGCCUCCUCCACUCCCCCGGGCUGGACGGAACGGGGCCCAGCGCGGGAUGCGAGAGGUAUGAUUUCGCUCUGUCGCCCAGGCUGGAGGGCAGUGGCGCAAUCUCGGCUCACUGCAGCCUCGAACUCCUAGGCUGAAGCGAUUCUCCCGCCUCAGCCUCCAAAGUAGCCGGUACUACAGGCGCGCGCCACCACGCCUGGCUAAGGGUCUUACUAUGUCACCCAGACUGAAGUGCAGUGGCAUGAUCACAGGUCAUUGCAUCCUCAACCACCCAGACUCAAGCAAUCCUCCUGUCUCAGCCUUCCAAGUAACUGAGACCACAGAAAUAACCAUGGAUAUGGGUAGAGACAGAGCCAUAUGGAAUGCACACUGCAGUGGUGAACACAUGGCCCAGCUCUGCCAUCAAGGAGAAGGUGAGAACAUGGGGGAAGAUUUUAUCGAAGUUUCUUUUCUGGGGCAUAUGCUCAGGUUAAACACCUGCUCUGUAUCUCUAGCUUCUGACUCCUACCCCUGGCCAGCUCUGUUACUCUAGUACACUGCUAGGCAGGCAGAGUAUGGCCAAAGUAUUCACAACAGUGCAUCACUAAAUCAACUGGGAUCCACACAAUGGAAUAUCCUAAUGCAUCAUUAAAAAUCACAUUGUAAAAGAAGAUUUUAUAACAGAAAAAAAUGCACUGUAUAUGAUACAUUUUUAAAAUGUUACUUAUGCCAGUCACAAUAAAAGACAAUUACACUUAUAUGGGAUAGAGUAGUCAAUAUUAUAGAGACAGAAGGUAGAAAUGGGUCUGGGUGGAAAUUAGAAUGAGAUGUUCUUAGCAUUCCAGUUUUACAAGAUGAAAAGAGUAACGGAGACAGAUGGCAGUGGUGGUUGCAUGACAUUAUGAAUGUACAUAAUUAAAAAUGGGUAAGAUGGCACAGUGAGAUACCAUCUCACACCAGUCAAAAUGGCUAUUACUAAAAAGUCAAAAAAAUAACAGAUGCUGGGGAGCUUGUAGAGAAAAGGGAAUGCUUAUACACUGCUAGUGGCAGUGUAAGUUAGUCCAGCCACUGUGGCAAUUCCUCAAAGAACUUAGAACUAUCAUUUGACCCAGCAAUCCCAUUACUGGGUAUAUACCCAAAGGAAUAUAAAUUGUUCUGCCUUAAAGACACAUGCAUGUGAUUGUUCAUUGCAGCACUCUUUAUAAUAACAAAGACAUGGAAUCAACCUAAAUGCUCAUCAACAGUAGACUGGAUAAAGAAAAUGUGGUUCAUAUACACCAUGGAAUACUAUGCAGCCAUAAAAAAGAAUGAGAUUAUUUCCUUUGCAGGAACAUGAAUGGAGCUGGAGGCCAUCAUCCUUAGUGAACUAACACAGGAGCAGAAAACCAAAUACCACAUGUUCUCAUGUGUAAGUGGGAGCUAAAUGAUGAGAACACAUGGACACAAAGAGGGGAACAACAGACACUGAAGCCUCCUUGAGGGAGGAGGGUAAGAGGAAGGAGAAGAUCAGAAAAGAUAACUACCAGGUACUAUGGUAGCUUAGUACCUGGGUGAUGAAAUAAUCUGUACACCCAACCCUCAUGACAGAAGUUUACCUGUGUAACAAACCUGCACAUGUAUCCCUGAAACUAAAAGUUUUUUAAAAAGUUAUUUAAUAUAUAUAUAUUUUUUUGAGACGGAGUUUUGCUCUUGUUGCCCAGGCUGGAGUGCGGUGGCGCAAUUUCGGCUCACCACAACCUCCGCCUCCCAGGUUCAAGCUAUUCCCCUGCCUCAGCCUCCCUAGUAGCUGGGAUUACAGGCUUGUGCCACCACGCCGGCUAAUUUUGUAUUUUUUGUAGAGACGGGGUUUCUCCAUGUUGGUCAGGCUGGUCUCGAACUCCCGACCUCAGGUGAUCCACCCCCCUCGGCCUCCCAAAGUGCUAGGAUUACAGGCAUGAGCCACUGCGCCCGGCAAAAAGUUAUUUAAUAUUAAUGGGACAAUACUCAUUGCAAGAAUCAGACUUCAAUUGCUAGCAUAAGUAAAUGACAGGCAGGAGAUAUUGAAAAUGCAAUCUUAUAGACAUUCAAGGAGAGGACGCAGGACAUUUCUGUGUCAUAAAUGUACUAUGGAAAAUAAAAAUGAGAAAAAUGGAAAUAAAAUACAAGAAAAGGUUAUGAUAAAUUUCAUAUUAUUUUACCACAAUAAAAAAAUUUUAAUAAAUUAUAAAUGGUGUGAUAUGUUUUGCCUGUGUUCCACCCAAAUCUCAUCUUGAAUUAGAGCUCCCACAAUUCCCACGUGUUGUGGCUGGGACCCUGUGGGAGAUAAUUGAAUCAUGGGGGCAGUUUACCCCAUACUGUUCUCUUGGUGGUGAAUAAGUCUCAUGAGAGUUGAUGGUUUGAUAAGGGGUUUCCCCUUUUGCUUGGCUCUCAUUCUCUCUUGACUGCCACCAUGUAAGAUGUGCCUUUUGCCUUCCACCAUGAUUGUGAAGCCUCCCAGCCACAUGGAACUGUGAGUCCAUUAAACCUUUUUCUUUACAAAUUA